UACGUAGGGGGCAAGCGUUGUCCGGAAUCAUUGGGCGUAAAGAGCGUGUAGGCGGUCCGGUCAGUCGGUUGUGAAAGUCAAGGGCUCAACCCUUGAAUGCCGGCCGAUACUGCCGGGCUAGAGUCCGGAAGAGGUGAGUGGAAUUCCCGGUGUAGCGGUGAAAUGCGCAGAUAUCGGGAGGAACACCUAUGGCGAAGGCAGCUCGCUGGGACGUUACUGACGCUGAGACGCGAAAGCGUGGGGAGCAAACAGG
rnacentral:rRNA from 1 species